UUCUAACUUAAAAGCCUGAGAGGAACCUCCUAAGGAAAAAGUAGGUGGUUUCAGCUUUGUGAGUGCUUACUUACUGCAGGGAAAAUGUUUAGACUAAUGGAACCAUAGAACAGCUCAGGUAAGAAGGAACUUUGAGAGAUCAUCUGGUCCAACUUUCCAUGGGAAUGGGAGCCUAGAUAAAAUCUCAGUCUUGUCUUGCAGCUGCUGCCCCUUGUCUUCUCCACGUGGCUCCUUCUGAAGAGAGAGCUUCAGGUCUCUCUGUAGCUGCUCUUCAAAUAAUGAAAUACAGGGACAGGGUUCCUCCGAGACUUCUCCAGAGAAAAAAGACCUAACUCUAGUGAAAACAAAGGCAAUGAAUGUAUUGAGACUUCUGCCUUGCCAGCAUUAUGGUGUUUCCCUGCCCCAUCAGCAAUGGACCUGUGUCUUCCCUGUGCUCCCACUUUCUGCCCAUGGAUCUGAAGACACCUUGCUUCUUUACUUGGCAUCCUUGGCCAAUUUCAGUUCUAGAUGAGCAUCACAUUUCCUGUCCAGGGAAUUGUUGAAGUUUUAAAGCCAUUUAAUACCAUUCCAAAUGUAUUUAGCUGUAUUAAUUGCAAUGUAUUACCUUUUGUUAUUAAUUUCCAAGGAUUCUGUAAAAUACACUUCUUUCCCCUCUGCACCAGCCUUGGCUUUUGCCUGUGUGCAAUGAGGUGGUGUGUGCUUAGACACUGUCACUUGGAGUACUCUGUGGCAGUUCAUUAUUGUUACUAUUGCAAUAAUUAUAUUAGUAAAACAAAGCUAUCACUAAGGUCUGCAAUGCCAGCAGAAGCUUCUUGCAAUUUAUUUAAUACUGGGUACUGACAGGUAAUAAUGGCUUAAAAAAGUGCUCAUAAAAGACACU